rnacentral:rRNA from 1 species
AUGUCAGGAAUAAAGAAGAUCCAUAACCAGCUAGCAUAUAAUAUUGAAGCUUACAUAAAUGGCACAAAAUAUAUAAUAGAUGAAAUUACAAUAAGAGAUUUGUCAGUAAUAAAUGAUGACAUGAUAAUAGGGUUAAGAUUUUUACAACAAUCUUUACAAACCACAAUCAUACAUGAAGAGGGGGUAACAUUUAUUCCUUAUCAAGAUAAUGUUCCGUACAUAUCUGAAGUGCGAAAACAAAGAAAGUCCUUACAAAACGUAGAAAUAUCUAAUUUAGAUGAUGAAUAUAGCACAAGUCCAGAUCCCCUUGAAUUCUGUAAAGACGAAGAACUUAGUGAGACCAUAGAAGAAUAUCAUAUAGAAAAUACAUGUACUAAAUGCAUUGGGUUGCAAUCAUUCUCUCCAAAUUGGUAUAGAGAUAUAAAAUCUAAAAAGGAUAUAGAUAAGAUUGUGCAAAGACUAGAAAGUAUACAAAUUAUUGGAGAAAUACCAAUGAAACAUUGGGAUAAGAACUCUAUAGUUUGCAAAAUAAAUAUCAUAAAUCCAGAUUAUAUAAUUAAGUCAGGACCAAUAGAAGCAACUCCUAAAGAUAUCGAAGAGUUCAAAAUGCAUAUUGAAGAGUUAUUAAAGUUAAAAGCUAUAAGAGAAAGCAGAAGCCCUCAUCGAUCUGCUGCUUUUAUAGUUAGAAAUCAUGCUGAAGAAGUUAGAGGCCUAAAGAAUGCACCUGCACUAUUUCAAAGAAAGAUGCAAAAUAUAUUUAAUGAGAAUCAAGCAUUUAUAUUAGUAUACGUAGAUGAUUUGUUAGUAUUCUCAAAAUCAUACAAAGAGCAUAUAGCCCAUCUUGAAGUGUUCUUUCGAAAGGUAGAACAAAAUGGGCUCAUACUAUCUAAAAAGAAGAUGGAGAUUUGCAAAGAGAAAAUAAAUUUAUUUGGUCAUGAAAUAGGAGAAGGAAAAAUAUAUCUACAAGAACAUAUUGCAAAGAAAAUAUUAGAGUUUCCUGAUAAUAUGAGUGAUAAAAAGGUUUUACAACAGUUCUUAGGAAUUGUAAACUAUGCGCGAAACUAUAUAGAUAGCUUAGCAAAGCUAGCAGGACCUUUAUAUGCUAAAUUAAGAAAAAAUGGUCAAAGAUACUUCAAUUCUGAAGAUAUAAAAUUAGUAAAGGCCAUCAAGGAAAAGGUCAGGAAUUUAAAACCCCUAGAAUUGCCUCUAGAAGACAAUUAUUUUAUAAUUGAGACAGAUGCAUCUAAGGUAGGAUGGGGUGCGAUACUAAAACAAAAGCCCAAUAAAUACUCUCCAAAGGCAGACGAAAAAAUAUGCAGAUAUGCUUCAGGAAGUUACAAAUUAAAGACGGUAAAUAAUAUUGAUAGAGAAAUUCUUGCAGUUUUAAAUGCAAUAAAUGCAUUUAGGUUAUAUCUAGGAUUGAAAGAAUUUACAGUAUGA